CCUACGGGAGGCAGCAGUGAGGAAUAUUGGUCAAUGGGCGGGAGCCUGAACCAGCCAAGUCGCGUGAGGGAAGACGGUCCUAUGGAUUGUAAACCUCUUUAGGCGGGGAGCAAUGCCGGGCACGCGUGCCCGGAGGGAGAGUACCCGCAGCAUAAGCAUCGGCUAACUCCGUGCCAGCAGCCGCGGUAAUACGGAGGAUGCGAGCGUUAUCCGGAGUUAUUGGGUUUAAAGGGUGCGUAGGCGGAUUUUUAAGUCAGCGGUAAAAUGUCCGGGCUCAACCCGGGCCGGCCGUUGAAACUGGGGAUCUUGAGUGGGCGAGAAGUAUGCGGAAUGCGUGGUGUAGCGGUGAAAUGCAUAGAUAUCACGCAGAACUCCGAUUGCGAAGGCAGCAUACUGGCGCCCGACUGACGCUGAGGCACGAAAGCGUGGGGAUCGAACAGGAUUAGAUACCCGAGUAGUC
rnacentral:rRNA from 1 species